rnacentral:rRNA from 1 species
GACGAACGCUGGCUGCGUGCUUAACACAUGCAAGUCGAACGGAAAGGCCCUGCUUGCAGGGUGCUCGAGUGGCGAACGGGUGAGUAACACGUGGGUGAUCUGCCCCUUACUUUGGGAUAAGCCUGGGAAACUGGGUCUAAUACUGGAUAGGACCAUGCUGUAGGUGGUGUGGUGGAAAGAUUAGUUUCGGUAAGGGAUGAGCUCGCGGCCUAUCAGCUUGUUGGUGGGGUAAUGGCCUACCAAGGCGUCGACGGGUAGCCGGCCUGAGAGGGUGGACGGCCACAUUGGGACUGAGAUACGGCCCAGACUCCUACGGGAGGCAGCAGUGGGGAAUAUUGCACAAUGGGCGCAAGCCUGAUGCAGCGACGCCGCGUGGGGGAUGACGGCCUUCGGGUUGUAAACUCCUUUCAGCCAUGACGAAGCCCUUGUGGUGACGGUAGUGGUAGAAGAAGCACCGGCUAACUACGUG